GCGGGAAUAGCUCAGUUGGUAGAGCACGACCUUGCCGAGGUCGGGGUCGCGAGUUCGAGUCUCGUUUCCCGCUCCA
rnacentral:tRNA from 2 species